GGCUAGAUUUAGAUUAGAUUCAACUUUAUUGUAAUUUAAAAGAGUAGGCUAUAGGUACAGAGCCAAUGAAAUGCAGUUGACAUCCAACCAGAAGUGCAAAGAAGCAGUUAUGUAGACGAUCAAGAUUAAUUAUGUACAACAGUUAGAUAAAUAGGCAAGUUUUCCAGAUGACAUGUGUACAGUGACAGAAAUAGCCUACAGUAUACAGUGAAUAUGGAAUGUGUGUCUAGCCUAUAACAAAACAAAUUGAUAAUAAUACAUAAUAAUGAUAAUAAUAGCAGUAAUUACAGUAGGCCACUCGCACUGUUGUUGGUGACGUGUCUGUUUCCUAUUGUUCCAUGCCACUCUCCUACUGUUUCCUUUACUGUCCUGCGCCACUCGCCUACUAUCUUUUGCCUCUUGCCUACUGUCCAGCACCACUCGUCUACCGUCUCCUAUGCUGACCCACGCCACUCACCUACUGUUUCCUAACUGUCCCAUGCCACAAACUGUAACAUUAAGCUGACACAAUCUUGCUGCACGGUUACUUAUCUGCAUGCAAUCCCUAUUGCCAGCUGUUAUGAGUAAACAUUAUAUUGGGACACCAAUAUAUUUCUGAUUCACGGGCAGUGUAUUUGCUACUGAAGAAAAGGAGAACACAUAGUAAUUGUUCUUGGAUGGGGAUUUAGAGUAAGGUUUCUAUUGAUCUUUUUCAGAUAAGGCCUCUUCAUUUUCAACUGUGAAGGAUCUACAUGGACUUGGUCUGGAUAGCCUUUCCUGUUUUGAUGAGCCAGUCGGGUCUAGAGGAAAAACCCUAUAUGAGCCCCAGGAAGAAGACAGCUGGACCUACACCAUUUCGCGAAUUGAUCCACCCAGGCCCUGUAGUUGGUCUCCUCGCUAUUCUGUAUUAACCCCACUAUUGCUGUGUCAUCUGCAGAUUUUAUGAGAUCCUUGCUCCUGAUAUCCUGAUGUAUGGGUUGCACUUCAUUAUAUGACUCCAACAGAACACUCACAGAAAGGAGAGUGGUGUCAAACUACAAGACAGCCAGCAUCUGUGUUAUGGAGUGCAUCCUCACAUCAUGGUCUACUGCAGCGGUGGAUACAGAGGACAAUUGGCAGGUUGUCAGCUGUUUGGUUAUCCCCAAAGCAGAAAGACAUGCCAGGAAGGAGCAAGGCAAAGCCCGGGGAUUUUUCUGCAGCUGUUCCUGCCCGUAAUAGAAGGACUGCUCCUGAGAAUAG